rnacentral:rRNA from 1 species
AUUGAACGCUGGCGGCAGGCUUAACACAUGCAAGUCGAACGAGUGGCGGACGGGUGAGUAAUGCUUGGGAAUCUAGCUUAUGGAGGGGGAUAACUAGGGGAAACUGUAGCUAAUACCGCGUACCAUAGGAUGAGCCCAAGUGGGAUUAGGUAGUUGGUGAGGUAAAGGCUCACCAAGCCGACGAUCUCUAGCUGGUCUGAGAGGAUGACCAGCCACACUGGGACUGAGACACGGCCCAGACUCCUACGGGAGGCAGCAGUGGGGAAUAUUGCGCAAUGGGGGCAACCUGACGCAGCCAUGCCGCGUGAAUGAAGAAGGCCUUCGGGUUGUAAAGUUCUUUCGGUAGCGAGGCGUUACCUACAGAAGAAGCACCGGCUAACUCCGUGCCAGCAGCCGCGGUAAUAC